GAAAAGGUCUUGUUGGGUGUGAUGGUGCAGGCCUUUAAUCAACUACUCUGGAAGCUGAGGCAGGAAGAUCACAAGUUGGAGGCCAGCCAGGUUAACUUAGGGAGACCCCCAUAUCUCAAAAUAAAAAGGGCAGGGCUGAGGAUGCAGCUGAGUACUUGCUUAGUGAGUGUGAGAUUUUGGGGGUUCCAUUACAAUACCAAAGACCAAAUUAAAAUGUCUUUAUUUUCUUAAUUGAAAUAUUUAAGUAAGAAGAAGCCAAAAAAAGUAUGGCAAAGGUUAUCAGCAGCAUCAUUACUUGGACUACUGUUAAAAUACAUAUUUCAAGGGCUAACUCACAGAAAAUUUAAUUCCACAGAUUUGCUUUUGGAACAGGAACUUGAAUUUUAAAUUAACACCUGAGGAUUCUGUCAUACGUUGCCCACUGAAACACAAUUUGAAAAAUAUCCAACAUUACCUUUUCUAAAAUUUAUUGUUGCUUGUUUAUUUUUAAAUUGAGGUCCAGGCUUGUAGGUAAGAUUUUAAAUUCUAGAGGCAGUGAGUUAAAUUUUCCAUCCCAGGAAGGAGAGUCUGAAUAAUAAAAAAAAGAAACUAUUUUGCCAAAUGAAGGAGAAACCUCUGUUAUUAAGUAGUCAAUUUGA
rnacentral:lncRNA from 1 species